rnacentral:rRNA from 1 species
AUGAAGAGUCGGACCUGCCCAGUGAAUCUUUUUAAACGGCCGCGGUACUCUGACCGUGCAAAGGUAGCAUAAUCAUUUGCCUUAUAAUUGAAGGCUAGUAUGAAUGGUUUAACAAGAAUAAAGCUGUCUCUUUAUAAUUAAAUAGAAUUUUAUUUUUAGGUGAAGAAGCCUAAAUUUAAUUAAAAGACAAGAAGACCCUAUCGAGCUUUAAAUAAAUUAAUAGAACUAUAGUGAUUAUAAGUUAAAAAAUUAACUUUAAUAUAUUUUGGUUGGGGCGACAAAGGAACAUAAAAAGCUUCUUUUAUUAAAAACUUAAAACAUAUGAGUAUUUGAUCCAAAGAGUUUUGAUUAAAAGAAUUAGUUACCGUAGGGAUAACAGCAUAAUCUUUUUUGAGAGCUCAUAUCGAAAAAAAGGUUUGUGACCUCGAUGUUGGACCAGAAUAUCCUAAAGAUGCAGAAGUCUUUAAGGGUUGGUCUGUUCGACCAUUAAAAUUCUA